rnacentral:tRNA from 1 species
GCCACUGUAGCUCAGCGGUAGAGCGGCUGAUUCGUAAUCAGCAGAUCAGGGGUUCAAAUCCCUUCAGUGGCU